rnacentral:tRNA from 1 species
GGAGAGGUGCAGGAGUGGUUGAACUGGCACGCCUGGAACGCGUGUAUGGUGGCAACACCAUCGUGGGUUCGAAUCCCACCCUCUCCGCCA